UCGGGAACUGUGAGACAGGUGCUGCAUGGCUGUCGUCAGCUCGUGUUGUGAAAUGUUGGGUUAAGUCCCGCAACGAGCGCAACCCUUAUCCUUUGUUGCCAGCGAUUAGGUCGGGAACUCAAAGGAGACUGCCAGUGAUAAACUGGAGGAAGGUGGGGAUGACGUCAAGUCAUCAUGGCCCUUACGACCAGGGCUACACACGUGCUACAAUGGCGCAUACAAAGAGAAGCGACCUCGCGAGAGCAAGCGGACCUCAUAAAGUGCGUCGUAGUCCGGAUUGGAGUCUGCAACUCGACUCCAUGAAGUCGGAAUCGCUAGUAAUCGUGGAUCAGAAUGCCACGGUGAAUACGUUCCCGGGCCUUGUACACACCGCCCGUCACACCAUGGGAGUGGGUUGCAAAAGAAGUAGGUAGCUUAACCUUCGGGAGGGCGCUUACCACUUUGUGAUUCAUGACUGGGGUGAAGUCGUAACAAGGUAACCGUAGGGGAACCUGCGGUUGGA
rnacentral:rRNA from 5 species